UCCGGGUCCAUGGAUGUAGCGACGACCCGUCUCUCGUCUCACCCCUGCUUGCGCCGCCGCCGACACCCCGGCUCACAUCCUCGUCGGCUUCUCCCUCCCCUCAGGCCGCCUAGGCACGCCGCCGCCGCCGCGGCCACCACCUCAUCCGUCAUCGACCAAUUCAGCCUCGGUCCAAUUCCUCAAUGCGAGUGCCUCACUGGUCGAUGCGGGGCGAGCCGAUGUAUCCCCUCUCCCUCUGUGAUGUCGUCCGUCCCUGCGUGUGCCCUCUCCCUCCAAGAUCCCAUCUCUGUGCUGUCUGCUGCAUGGUAGGUUCGUAGCCCAAUGCUCCGUUCGUAUGUCCUCACAGGGAAUCCCCUCCUCCCUUCUUUCCCCCGAUUUGAUUUCAACAUGGUGGAAAUAAACGGUUAGUCAACAUAGACAGCGGAUCAGAAAGACUACAAAAAUAGCGUGCCGGCCAGUACGCUGUAUGUCGUGGUGGUCCACUGUGGCGUUGGUCUCAACACCGGCAUGUGGUAUUUUCUUCCUUCCUGAUGUUCAAUUCAUAAGCAUGACGUGGUGUUUCACAGCAUGUUCACUUGCUCUGAAGAAAUAGUUGCCUGCUCAUUUUUUCUUUAGAUGUUCUUCUUUGUUUUGUUACUUCUACACAUCGGUGCAUGUGCUACUAAGAGAUUAUAUGGCUGCCGCUCAUUUAGUAAGUUCACAUGGACUACCAUUAUCCAUGCAUUAAGGAUGUACGAUUGCUUAGUUUGCGUUUCUGUAUCAUUCAUGCAACGGUACUGUUUUUUGUUGUAUGCAGCAGUUUACUUUCAUGAAGACGCCAGGCGACUGUGACAAAGCCCUCGUAUCAUGAUGGUUUGAGGUGAACGGCUCAAUGAUGCCAAAGAGAUUAAUAUUGAAUUAAACUUUCCCCCAUAAUCUCUGCUAGGAAAAAAAUGUGCAGGGAACUUAGGUAUCAGUUUCCAGAUUUUUGAGCGACCAGGGAGCAAAAUUUUCACCACAGAUGACUAUGCAUGGCUUCUCUGUGCUUUGCGCUCUUCUUCAAUGAAAAAUAUUUACUUCAUUACCAGAAUUAAGAGACUUUUAAUGACCAUCGAUAUUAAUAUGUGACUGAGUUUAUUCUAGGUUAGGUCAAUGAGGUUUACAGCAAGGUACAAAGCUUCGUGAGGACUCAUCUUCUUGGGAUGCAAAAGGGUGAAGCUAAGUUGAUGUUUCUUAAUUAAUCAAAAAUAUGUCAGGAAGAUUAGAACAUGCGUUCUAUCUAUAGGUAUUAUUUGGGAGAUGAUCGGUUACUAUAAGCUCUAAAGUUUAUAUAUUUCGAUGAUGGGUCUACCAUGCGUAGUUAAAACUUGCCUAUCGACAAACCAUCAGCUGCUGCAAAUGACAGAUGGGUAUGACGGAUGGGUAUUGCAGAUCAUGCAUCACGGGUAUUUUGAUUCUAAUAUGAUGAUUCAGUAAUUCUACUAUUGGUCUAAUAAUCUUCAGCAAGGAUAUACUGACUCUCAUUUCUUUAUUAGUUUUGUAGACAUUGCUUGAUCCAAAUUACGACAAAAGAUCAAUUGCCGAGGUUGUACUAAACCACAUAUUUAUCACUGGGCAGUAGUAGUAUAGUCUCUUAAUUAUCCUUUUAAAAAUAAAUUUAAUGUCUACCUAUUAUUAGAGAAUUAGAAAGCAUAGGCUCUUUAGAAGCUUUCUUGCCAAAAAAGAAGGCCCUUCAAAAGCUAAUACAUGUAUAUGCUCACAUCACAUGCUUGUUUUUCUUCCUUGAAUUUUCAAAUGCUUAUGAAUCAUCUGCAAAAUAGUGUAGCUUGUAACUCUCUGUUGAACUAAAUACCAAUCCAAGUCGGAGUGUAAAGAAGACAAUAUAGGUUUUGAUCUGCCGAGAGGUCAUGCAAUGCUUCUCUAUUCCCAUUUCAGGCCAGAUUUACCUCCAAAACACUGCAUGGAUUCUUUCACAUAUUGUCCAUUUUAUUUCUGUAACUUCUUGCAGUUUAAUUACUUGCAAGUUUUGUUCUCUAUUAAGUAAGUUAUUUGUCUUGUGGAUUGUACGAAUGAUUUUCGCUAAUACGCUGCACACAUCUAAACCAUAGACUGUUUCAAGACACAUCAGAAAAAUAUAAAUCAAUCUAGACAUCAGAAACCAAAGAUGAAUCAUUUAUAUAUGCAUUUGAUUUCCUGAAAUAUAAGAAUAACGAUGUAUGCUUUUCUUUCUAUGUGGAAACUAUUAUGUAUCAUUUAUUAGCGGUGCACACAUUCAUGAUUUUAUUCUUAUAAAGAAAUUCACAUUUAGAACUUAGAUUCGGCAAUUAUUUGACAUGGCAUGUAGUGUGUACUACGCUACUCACAAAAAGUGUAGCAUCCAUCGAGCGGCUUUGGCAGACUUAAUCCGUACGUGGAUGUUUAACUGAUUCCUGAAGUAUAACUCUUACUUCCUGCUUAUUAUUGUUCAGGUUACUGCAAUUAGUCCAUUGAUUGAAGGCUUAGCUGUUGCUUCUUGAUCAACCCUGUUAACCUUUAGAUGUGUUUUCAAGUUGUUCAUAGUAGUCCGAUGUUGUGUAAGUUAAAGUGAGAGCUAUUACGUCAAUUUAUUUUUGACCUUUUCAUUUGAAAGUAGCCAAAGCUACAAAUGGGUAUGUAGAUGGUAUGCACAACUUCUAUGAAACAACUUUUGUCAGACUAUUGUAUCCUUUUACGGAAGGGACGUGCGUAAGACUUUACUGUUUUCCUCUCGUCCUUGGCGGCUGGAACCCUAGCCGUCGCCAGGGGAGGCCGAUCUUCCAACGCCACUCUCCGGCGGCUCCCCUCUGCCGGCGACCUCGGUCGUCGGUGGUGAGGUGGGUCGCCGGAUCCACGCAUGUGGAUCAUUUUUACUCUCUCGUAGUCUAGGUUUUUAGGUUGUUCAUCGUCUUUGCUACAGCGGCGACGAUGACAAUGCUGAAUAAAGAUUCUUCGGAUUCUUCCCUGACGAGGCCAUUGGUCCUAUGGUUGGGGAUGGAUUUGGAAACCAGUCUGUUCAAGCAAGGAUGGCGUGGCGGCGACGACAUCCUCGUGGUGGACCUGUGUCCUCGGGCUCCGCCGUUGCGAUGGCGUUUGCUCCAGCGUCGGCGCGGAGCUUGGGAGGUAGUCCAGGAGCGGAUGCAGAUUAUGGUCUGCACCGACGACAUCUAGAAGACGGAGCAUGUGCUAGGCUCGUGGUUCAUGGAUGGCAGAUAUGGUUUCCUCCUUCGGUGUUUUAGUCGUGGUGGGGUGCUAGAUCUGGAGUUAGAUGGCGUGUCCGGGGUGUUGCCCCGGUCUGAUCGUUCAACGGUAAGGGCUUCACUUUUGGUGAGCCACCUUGAAGGUCCGCAAAGCUGUAUAUCAGCGAUGGAGCCGCGUCGAGCUCAGGUGAGGAGGUGAUUUGUCAUUCUUUUCUUCGGUGGCUGCUAUGGUGGUGCCAGAGGCAGGUGACGGGCGUUGGUGUCAAGCUCAGAGAUAUUCUGCUAUCUUUUCAGUUUUGUCAUGUCGGUCUUUACAUGACUUGUACUUUGUUCUUUAUGAUGUGAAUGAGACACGUAUUACCAUGCAAAAAGACUAUUGUAUCCUUUUCAACAUAUUGUGAUUCAAUUAUGUUUAUCUUUUGUCUCCUUGCAUUUAUAGAAAUUCCUAUCAUUUUAUUGCCUAAAUAGACGGGCGCAGCAACGCACACCAAUCAUGAUCUAGUGAAAUCACAAUAGCGCAACGAAUUUCUCUAUCGAAAAUGCAUUAGAAGAAUCACAUAUUUUUUCCAAAAAAAAAUGUUAUUGACAUGUUCAUGAACUCUUCUAGUUUUCGAAAUUCAAUUUUAAAUAUAAAGAAAAUUAGUUUAAUGUAAUAAUUUACACCUUUUCACACCUUUAAGUCAGAGUUUUCUUAUAAACUCUAUUUUAUUUGUCUAUCGUCGACCUCACAGUAUUUUAAGCAACUUAACAUCUUGUUAAAAAACAAAAGAAAAUCUAAGUAUAAAUUUCCAACUGAUUGUUUGAAUAUUUCUCUCAACGAUUAGUAGCGACCCUAUGCAUGCAUUCUUUUCUACAGUAUACUACUACUUUUGAGAAAAAUAAGAAAUGCCUUCAUGCAUGCAUUCAGAGGCACUCACGUGAGGAGUAAAUUUCUACAGUGGCGCUCACGUCUACUUCCAGUCUGCAAUGGAAUAGGAGUACUACCUUGUCUCGUCUAACUAGUAAGAUGCCCGUGCUUCGCUACCGGAUCAAAAAAAUAAGAUGAACUUAAAUUAUAGUCAGGAACUCAUACAUUGAUCAAAGUAAGGAUAUAUUAUUAUUGAUAAAUAGACAGCAAGCACAAUCAAAUAUAUGGUUUUUAAUCAAUGAACCCCUUCGUCAUGAAGCCGAACUCUUUCUUCUCCAUCUCCAUCUCGUAGAAAGAACCUUUGUUCUCCAUACUCAGCUCUCUAAUUAGGGGGAGACUUGUAUAGGAUCUGAUCUUUAGGUGAGAUCGUAGGAUCAACAGCAAAAUUUCAUAUUUAGACAAUUCAAAAAAUUCUAAUUUUUUUUUACAUACCUGCAAGGUAUGUUUACAACUCUAAAAAAAUUCAGCUUCAAACUCGGUCUACGGUAAGAGAUUCAAAAAAGACAAAUUCGACUAUGAAUAGUGUCAUCUUGGGGUAAAUAGUAUUUGGCACAAUUCAUAUCCGAUUUUGUCUUUUUUGUUUCUCAAAGUGUACUUCGAAUUAGGAGCUGAAACCUUUUAAGUUUUUACAUCAAACACGGAUGUGUCUACAAAUAUUUUCAGAAUUUUUAAACAUGUUUUGAGUCUUCAAAUAGAUUGAUCUCAUCUAAAGCUAGAUCUAAUACAAGUCUUCCCCGCUCGCUCUAUCCUAUAUCGAAGGGAGAGAAUGCGGCAAAUAUAGAAUUCGUCUACACACGUGGCAACUGACAACAUUCGCCAACUUUAUCUCUCCAUUUGUCUGUCUUUGGCUUCUAUUUGCUUAUCAUGGACUAUAACUCCAGCCCGCACACAAUUAUCAGCUAGAAAUGGUAAGACAUUAAUCACCUCACAAACAUAUCACAUUCAGUAACCAGUCAUGAAAACUCACAUGAGAAAAGAUAACACAAUCACAAGCACUUGGUGCAUAACUUGCAUACAUAAGAGAUUACAUACAAGUACAACCAAAAUAAUUGGGCUCAGUAAGCAAGAUUACUAUGGCAAAAAAUAGAGAUGAUGUGCCAUGUGUCAGCAUCCUUCAAAUAGUGGCUUCGUCAAAUGCAAGGCCUGUGAGUGUCACAGACGAUAACUCCGAAUUGCGAUAAAUGUGAUGACCGCUCUCACCAGAUCUCCCAAAUCACCGGCACGGCCAGCAAUCUCCAAUACAUAUUAUCAUGUCUAGCCUUAGAACCACUACAACAGAACUGCUUCUUUCCUUUGAUAGGCUGUAGAAAGCAAAAAAAAAAAAGAUAUCGUGUUACCAUUCAUCCAG